AUCCAGCCGACGAGUCCCAAACAAAACGAAACCCAUAUCCUGGAU
rnacentral:hammerhead_ribozyme from 1 species